GUGGGUUGUUUCAAACCAUUUGCUAUCGUUACUUACGUUCGUUAAAAUUUGACAGACUCGUAUGAACUUUAACGUAUGUUAACUUGUUAGCGUUGCUUCAUUGUUAAAAAAUGAGUUCGUCAUUGUUAAUGGGGUUGCCUGUUUGCGUAACGCUAUUUUGACCUAAUGUUUUAUGGGAUUUUUUUUUAGUAAUAACAACAUUGAUAAAAACAAUGUCAUUUGAUACAUUCUGUCAAGUUUGACAUCGAUGUUUAUUGUUUUGUACGAAAGGAUAAUUUUAAAAAGUGUUUAAUUUUAACAUAAAUAAUGGGAACCUUUUCGCCAAAAGAACGUUCGGUAAAUUUUGGAAAAGAAGAGAAGGACAGAUUUAGAAAUUUAAUA